CAAAACAAUAUUACAACAUCAAGACACUUCAACUCACGGUAUCACAGAUCACAACGCAAACAGAAAUUCAUCAAAUCACAGCAACAAGAAACUCAAUCGGAGCAUCCACUUGGAAAAAGCUUCAACUCGAGAUCAAAUCUAGAUAUCAAUGCAUAAAUGUGACUUCUGGUUGCAAAUCUCACGAUGUUUUCUUAUGAAUCAAGGGAAAUUCAUUUUAGGGAAGAACAAACAAGUCUUAUGGGUGUUGUCCAAUGUGUGGAUGCAAAGGAGUAUACUAUACUGUCUAGAAAAUUGUAUUAUUAUUUGUGAGUUCCAAGAGUAAUAGAUGCAAAGGAGCAUACUAUACUGUCUUGAAAAUUGUAUUAUUUUUUGUGAGUUCCAAGAGUAAUAGAUGAG